rnacentral:rRNA from 1 species
CCUGACGGUAGUCGUAUGCUCGUCUCCGAGACUAAGCCAUGCAAGUCCAAGUACACGUCCUUGAACGACGGAAACUGCGAACGGCUCAUUAAAUCAGUUGCGAUCUACUCGGCGUUCCGCGCCGCCGGAUAACCGUAGUAAUUCUAGGGCUAAUACGUGCGAAGCGCCCGAAGCCGCGAGGCGACGGGCGUUCUCGCCGGAUGUAGGAACCGACCCGGGGACCGCCGGGGCAACCCGGCGCCCCCGAGACGGGGCGAACCACGGUGAAAUGACGGAUCGUCGGCCCCGCGCCGGCGACUCGCCGAAUGAGUUUCUGACCUAUCAACUCGAGACGGCGGGGUAGAGGCCCGCCGCGGUAACGACGGGUAACGGGGAAUCAGGGUUCGAUUCCGGAGAGGGAGCCCGAGAAACGGCUACCACUUCCAAGGAAGGCAGCAGGCGCGCAACUUACCCUAAUCUCGAUUCAGGGAGGUAGUGACAAG